rnacentral:lncRNA from 1 species
AAGCCAUUGCAGAAUGCCCUGGGCACCAUGGAAUGCCCUGAGACUCAGUAGACUCUGGGCUGGUUCUGAGCAACAUUUUUACCUUUGGAAUGCCAAUUAACUCUACUUAGAACCUGGGAAAUCUGAUGAUCUUUACUGAAAUCCUGGAAAAAACUCUAAACCCAUCGUGUCUUUUGGGAGCUAUCUAAGCCCUGGUGAGACUCUGGGAAAAGCACUGAACAUGACUGAGACUCUGCCAAAGGCACUGAGAAUAACAGAAAACCUGGUAAUGGCCAUGAGUUCUACUAGGGACUGGGCAAGGUCUUCAGCUUUUUGAAAACCUGGUAAUAUCCUGAAACACACUGAGAUGGCGGUAAUGUACAAGACAUCAAUGGAAUGAAGAAAUAUAGUAAAAAAGAACACCAAAAAAUCUGUGGGAACAACCUGAGCAUGACUGUAAGACUGGAGAGGACUAGAAAUCCCAUUGAGAACCUGAGCCAAGACCCACAUGCACUGAAUGCAUAUCAGAGUCCAUGACCCAGCUUAGUGAGAUGCAAAAGACCUGAAUACCAAUGAUACACUGGGAAAAGCCUCAACACCACUUAGAAACCAGUGAGGCCCAGAAUGCCAGAGACACUUUUGAAGGCCUUUGGAUCACACAAACUCAUGAAUAUCAUCUGAACACACAUGAAUGCUAAGGACAGUCCUGAGUCACACUGUAACCCUGGAGAUUGUUGUCAGAAUGACAGAACAUUGUGGAAGGCAUUGAGACCCACUAAAGAAAUAGAGAAAGCCAUGAGCUUCAUUGCACAUUGGGAAAAGUACUCAGACACAUGGAAACUGUGAGAAAGAUCCAAAACAGCACAUUGACUUUGGUGGAGGCACUGAACCCCAUUGUAAAUCUAUAUAUUGAAGUCCUUUUGCCUCACAGAGGCUAUGGGAAAAAUCUGAGAACCAAUCAUACCUAAAAUCUCAAAAAAGACCCUAUAGAAUUCUCUGGCUCCUAUAAGUCACUGGGAAAAACACUAAGCCAGAUUGAGACCUUGGAGAAAGCCACGAGCUUAUACCAAGACACUUGGGCUACCCUCAAUGCCUAUAAAAGAAAGGGGAAGGCUCUGAGCACCACUAUGACACUGAGAGUAUCUCCAUGUUACAUUAACACAUUGGGCAUGGCUCUAUUUUCCAAUGAGACACUAGGGAAGACAUUAUUUUCCAAGAAUAUUGUGGGAGAAUCUGAG